AACGCACGAGACCUGCGGACCUGCGGAGGGAUCAUUAAUGAGAAGCUGCCCCUCGUGGGUAGACCUCCCACCCUCUGUGAACUUACCUUUGUUGCUUUGGCAGGCCCGUCCUCUGGACCGCCGGCUUCGGCUGGCCCGUGCCUGCCAGAGGAUUCCAAACCCUGUCUGUCAGUGUUGUCUGAGUCUAUAUGAAAUCGUUAAAACUUUCAACAAUGGAUCUCUAGAUCGGAAGAGCACACG
rnacentral:misc_RNA from 1 species